CCCGGAACGUCUGUGUGCGGCGGCGUCCCUACUGUGUGAGGGCCGACGAAACUAAGACGUCCCGUUUGGGGGAUCCUUCCUCGAGCCCCGCCCGGCGUGUUUGUUUAGGGAGAGAGAAAGCCCCAAAUACACCACUUCCCCCCCGGGGUUGUAACAUAUUACCAGAGGCCCAAAGUUCCCCCAGAAAAAGCCGGCUAGGCCCACACAUUUAUGGUUUUUUCCCCUUUAGGCCCCCCCGGUUUUUACCUUAUUGUUCCGGCCUUAAUUUGGUGGAAUUGGGGCGAAACAAUUUCCCCAAGGAAACGUUUUGCCCAUGUUUCCCCAAGAUUUUAGGGGCCCCUUAGGAAACCCCAGAUUGCCUCCCACGCGUGGGAAGCUUCCCAAUAGUUCGACCUCCAGGGGGCCCGGAAUUCCAUUGGGAUUCCAAGCUUGAAUUCGUAGUCAUAUGCUUGUUCAAAGAAUAAACCCAUGCAUUUUUAAGUUUAAGCUUUAAACUUGGAAACUGGGAAUGGCUCAUUAAAUCAGUUAAAGUUUAUUGAUGGGGUUUCUUACUCGGAUAACCGUAGGAAAACUAGAGCUAAUACGUGCGUAAAUCCCGACUUCGGAAGGGACGUAUUUAUUAGAUAAGAGGCCGACCGGGCUUGUCCCGACCUUCGGUGAAUCAUGAUAACUUCACGAAUCGCAUGGUCAUGAACCGGCGAUGUUUCAUUCAAAUUUCUGCCCUAUCAACUUUCGACGGUAGGGUAGUGGCCUACCGUGGUGGUAACGGGUGACGGAGGAUUAGGGUUCGAUUCCGGAGAGGGAGCCUGAGAAACGGCUACCACAUCCAAGGAAGGCAGCAGGCGCGCAAAUUACCCAAAUCCCAACUCGGGGAGGUAGUGACAAGAAAUAACGAUGCUCCGGCCUCUGGUCGGGUAAUCGGAAUGAGAACAAUUUAAAUCCCUUAUCGAGGAUCAAUUGGAGGGCAAGUCUGGUGCCAGCAGCCGCGGUAAUUCCAGCUCCAAUAGCGUAUAUUUAAGUUGCUGCGGUUAAAAAGCUCGUAGUCGGAUUUCGGGUGGCGCCUACCGGUCCGCCUUUGGUGAGUACUGGUAGGUACCUCCUUUCUGCCGAGGACGGGGUUCUGGGCUUAAUUGUCUGGGCCCCGGAGUCGGCGAUGUCACUUUGAGUAAAUUAGGGUGUUCAAAGCAGGCUUAUGCUCUGUAUACACUAGCAUGGGAUGACACGAUAGGACUUCGGUUUAUCUUGUCGGUCUGUAGAUCGGAGUAAUGAUAAAGAGGGACAGUCGGGGGCAUUCGUAUUUCGUAGUCAGAGGUGAAAUUCUUGGAUUUACGGAAGACGAACUUCUGCGAAAGCAUUUGCCAAGGAUGUUUUCAUUGAUCAAGAACGAAAGUCGGGGGCUCGAAGACGAUUAGAUACCGUCGUAGUCUCGACCAUAAACGAUGCCGACUAGGGAUCGGAGGUGGUUUUUUUAUGACCUCUCCGGCACCUUACGAGAAAUCAAAGUUUCUGGGUUCCGGGGGGAGUAUGGUCGCAAGGCUGAAACUUAAAGGAAUUGACGGAAGGGCACCACCAGGCGUGGAGCCUGCGGCUUAAUUUGACUCAACACGGGA
rnacentral:rRNA from 1 species